UACGAAGGGGGCUAGCGUUGUUCGGAAUUACUGGGCGUAAAGGGCGCGUAGGCGGUACUUCAAGUCAGGCGUGGAAGCCCCGGGCUCAACCUGGGAACCGCGCUUGAGACUGGAGAACUAGAGUUCGGGAGAGGAUGGUGGAAUUCCCAGUGUAGAGGUGAAAUUCGUAGAUAUUGGGAAGAACACCGAUGGCGAAGGCAGCCAUCUGGACCGACACUGACGCUGAGGCGCGAAAGCGUGGGGAGCAAAC
rnacentral:rRNA from 1 species